rnacentral:rRNA from 3 species
GGAAGGAUCAUUCUAAAUUUUUUU